UGGACACGUGCCUGAAAUUAUAAGUUUACGGGUUCCAUGAGGAUUUUUCAUGCAUUUAAACGACAGAAGUACAAGUAAAUAGAUGACAUAUUAAAGUGGCUGCAGAAGCUUGAAAAGUUAGAUAGAGCAGGGGCAGUCAAAUUAGUGGGAUAAUACUUCUAUGGUGUCCAACAUGUCUAGUCAGGUUGACAGAAGUGAAAGAUGGUCUGAUGGUACAAUGAUGUACAAAUGAUACUCUUUAACAAGUUUAAGAUGCCAAGGUGUAAAAUGUUCUGUGGAUUCAUAUGAUGAGAAUGCCAGUGUUGAUCUGUCUGACUUAAUUAAACACAGAUAUUGAUACCUUCAGAUAUAUACCUGUGAAAUCUUCAGUGUCACCGUUCAACUAUUGUUCAAGAUCAGUGUCUGCAGCUUGCACAGUUUAGUAUAGAGGAGCCUUCUGAAUCAACUUUGUUACAUAUUUGCUGUUAUUGUAGGACACACAUGUAGAGAGCAACAAAUCCUGUCCAGCCGUGCAUGUAAAUGUGAUUCAGAAACUUUGAGAAUAUGUAAACAUUACACUGUUUUAAUUUUCAAAAUACUGUGUCUUGCAGUGUAUCAGUACUGUUUUGUCUCAGUUUAUAGCACAGUAUGUUCACAAAUCAAACUUAAGACCAUAGUGAUCAGUAUUAUUAAAAUCAUUAAUAAUUUGUAUGGUGACAAAAUUUAAUUUCAUGCAAUACCACAGUGAAACGUUUGAUAAUUUUCGCUUUAAAAGUUGUAAGUUUAAAGUUGGCAUAAAUUGUUUUUCUCCUUCAUAAAUCUAAAAAGUGAUUGGUCAUUAUAACUCAGUCUUAAAACAUUUGUUUAUUGUACGUGUCAUGGCCCAUAACUCCUCCAUAUUACUUGUGUUUUGUCCUUUUUCAUUUCACUGAAGAAUAGGUAAAGGUAUUGCACAUCCAUUUUAUAGCAUCCCUAUUUUGUAAAGUGUUGUAUGUAAGGUUUUAUCUCGGAAUUAUGUCUCAUCUAAAGGUGGGCAGAGGUAUUAAUUAUGCCUUCUCGUCUAUCCGCAUUAAGCCUGUCUGGCUUUAAAAGGACAAGCUGCUGGCCAGAUUUUGAUGAAAUUUCACAAGACUGAUUAGUACCAAGCAUAGUGUUGUGCAUAUCGCUUGCAUGUUUCGUUGCGAUGCACUAAAUUGCAGCCAGAGCUAAAAAUAGAAAAAUCCUGUCGGCUUUCACAGGUCAAAACUACUUAACAGAUUUUGAUGAAACUUCACAGGAGUGAUCAGUACCAAGUAUACUUUUGCAUAUCACCGACACUUUCCAUUUUGCUGCACAAAAUAGCCGCCACAGCUAAAGGUAUACAUAGGUGGGAGACAUAUUUUGUCAUAAAAAUACCUAAAACACCUUCCACUUUCGUCUUUGUUAAUGAAAAAUGUAACAAACGUCUUACAAUUGCAAACUGUAAUAAUUUGACAUUAAAUGCACUAGUUCCAUAACUGCAUUUGGUUUUUUCAUAAUUAUUGCCCUUUUCUUACCAUAGCAAUAUUUUGUGUAACAUGUUACCUCAUUAAGCAUCAUAAGAUCAGAAAGUUCUAUGACUCAGAAAUGUUGGCCCUUUUGUACUUGUCAUGAGUAUGUUUUCAGUAUUUUAUAUUGUCAUUAUUUUUUGUUGUGCCAGUUUACGGAAAUGAAGACUUAGUUGUACAAAUGUGUGCCUGUGCCUGUCCUGAUUUGUUUGUCUGGACAAUAUAUUAUUGAUUAGUCUUCACGAAACUUUGCAGGUUAAUUUCCUUAGGUUCCCUGUCAACUUUGAUAGUGGCAUGGUUACUUUAGAAACACUAAAGUGAUGUCACCACUGUACUAGUCAAACGUUUUGUAUUUCAGAUUUUAUAUCACAUUACAGGCUACUGGUCUUUAUCAGCCUUCAUAAAACUUUCAUAAAAGUUUCCAAAAAUGUUGUAUUUUGAUUUGAGCUGGCAUUAUUCAAACAGUAAGAAGUAGUACUAUAAGGCAACAUUUGACCUCUUUUGCAGUACUUUUUGAUUUUCUCUGUUACUAUGAAGUUUCCUUUUCCUAGAAAUUAGUUGGCUUAUUUUUGAUGGUCUUAUGUUUUUAAUGAAUUGUAGAUAUGUUCUUUAUCUCAUGAAAAUGUCCAUUUUUAUAUAAUUCAUAUUUUUUACUGUCAACUAAGUGCAAUACCACAUACUUAUAUCACUUUCAUUAACAUACUUGUACUAUUUUCAUAAAACAAUAUAUAAAUCAUAAUAUUUCAUAUAAACAGAAUUAAAUAAAUAUUUAAGAACA